GAGCAGUGAGGAAUUUUGGGCAAUGGGGGAAACCCUGACGCAGCAACGCCGCGUGGGUGAUGAAGGCCUUCGGGUCGUAAAGCCCUGUCAGGUGGGAAGAAUGGCUUGAGGAUGAAUAAGCUUUGAGCGUGACGGUACCACCAGAGGAAGCACCGGCUAACUCCGUG
rnacentral:rRNA from 1 species